rnacentral:rRNA from 1 species
UAGGGAAUCUUCCACAAUGGACGCAAGUCUGAUGGAGCAACGCCGCGUGAGUGAAGAAGGUCUUCGGAUCGUAAAGCUCUGUUGUUGGUGAAGAAGGAUAGAGGCAGUAACUGGUCUUUAUUUGACGGUAAUCAACCAGAAAGUCACGGCUAACUACGUGCCAGCAGCCGCGGUAAUACGUAGGUGGCAAGCGUUGUCCGGAUUUAUUGGGCGUAAAGCGAGCGCAGGCGGAAUGAUAAGUCUGAUGUGAAAGCCCACGGCUCAACCGUGGAACUGCAUCGGAAACUGUCAUUCUUGAGUGCAGAAGAGGAGAGUGGAACUCCAUGUGUAGCGGUGGAAUGCGUAGAUAUAUGGAAGAACACCAGUGGCGAAGGCGGCUCUCUGGUCUGCAACUGACGCUGAGGCUCGAAAGCAUGGGUAGCGAACAGGAUUAGAUACCCUGGUAGUCCAUGCCGUAAACGAUGAGCGCUAGG